UACGUAGGGGGCAAGCGUUGUCCGGAUUUAUUGGGCGUAAAGAGCGUGUAGGCGGCUUUGCAAGUCCGUUGUGAAAACUCGAGCUCAACCUCGAGACGCCGGUGGAAACUGCAAAGCUAGAGUCCGGAAGAGGAGAGUGGAAUUCCUGGUGUAGCGGUGAAAUGCCGCAGAUAUCAGGAAGAACACCCGUGGCGAAGGCGGCUCUCUGGGACGGUACUGACGCUGAGACGCGAAAGCGUGGGGAGCGAACAGG
rnacentral:rRNA from 1 species